rnacentral:rRNA from 1 species
AUGCAGCCAUGCCGCGUGUGUGAAGAAGGCCUUCGGGUUGUAAAGCACUUUCAGCGAGGAGGAAAGGUUGUCGGUUAAUACCCGACAGCUGUGACGUUACUCGCAGAAGAAGCACCGGCUAACUCCGUGCCAGCAGCCGCGGUAAUACGGAGGGUGCGAGCGUUAAUCGGAAUUACUGGGCGUAAAGCGCAUGCAGGCGGCCAAGUCAGUCAGAUGUGAAAGCCCCGGGCUCAACCUGGGAAUUGCAUUUGAUACUGCUUGGCUAGAGUCCUUGAGAGGGGGGUAGAAUUUCAGGUGUAGCGGUGAAAUGCGUAGAGAUCUGAAGGAAUACCAGUGGCGAAGGCGGCCCCCUGGCAAGAGACUGACGCUCAGAUGCGAAAGCGUGGGGAGCAAACAGGAUUAGAUACCCUGGUAGUCCACGCCGUAAACGAUGUCUAUUAGGAGUCUGUGGCCUUGAGCUGUGGGUUCCAAAGCUAACGCAUUAAAUAG